GCCACCGUAGCUCAGUUGGUAGAGCAACGCACUCGUAAUGCGUAGGUCAGGAGUUCGAGUCUCCUCGGUGGCUCCA
rnacentral:tRNA from 1 species